rnacentral:rRNA from 1 species
UACAGAGGGUGCAAGCGUUAAUCGGAAUUACUGGGCGUAAAGCGUGCGCAGGCGGUUCGUUAAGUCCGAUGUGAAAGCCCCGAGCUUAACUUGGGAAUGGCAUUGGAAACUGGCGGGCUGGAGUGUGGCAGAGGGGGGUGGAAUUCCACGUGUAGCAGUGAAAUGCGUAGAGAUGUGGAGGAACACCGAUGGCGAAGGCAGCCCCCUGGGCCAACACUGACGCUCAGGCACGAAAGCGUGGGGAGCAAACAGG